rnacentral:rRNA from 1 species
UACGUAGGACGCAAGCGUUGUCCGGAAUCACUGGGUGUAAAGGGUGCGUAGGCGGGAAGGUAAGUCAGUGGUGAAAUCUCACGGCUCAACCGUGAAACUGCCGUUGAUACUGCUUUUCUUGAGUUUGGGAGAGGUCGAUGGAAUUCCAGGUGUAGCGGUGAAAUGCGUAGAUAUCUGGAAGAACACCAGUGGCGAAGGCGGUCGACUGGCCCAUAACUGACGCUGAGGCACGAAAGCUAGGGGAGCAAACGGG